GCGAUUCAGCUGAUUAUACACUUUUAUAACUAUCGUAAAUAGUUGCUAUAUGUAGUUUAAAAAAAAAAUGUUUUCUUUAAGAAGAACAUUGUUAGUUAAAUCUAAAUUAUGUAUUAAAAAAUUGCACACUUCCAAUUCAUUAUAUGAUGCUAUUAAAAUAGAUGGAAAUGAAAUUUCGAAACAAAUUAAGGAAGAAUUAAAAAAUGACAUUGAUGCCUGGGUAAAAGCAGGUAAUAAAAAACCUAAGUUAGUAGCUAUUCUUGUAGGAGAGAAUCCUGCUAGCCAAACUUAUGUUCGAAGAAAGAUGGAAUCUGCCAAUAUCAUUAUUCGUUUAGGCAUAGAAAGUUAUACAAUCAAUCUGAAAGAAAAUACGACUCAAAAAAUUUUACUGGAAAAUAUAAAUAGCUUGAAUGAAGAUCCAUCAGUAGAUGGCAUCAUUGUGCAAUUACCAUUACCAAAGGGUCUCAAUGAAAAAGAAGUUUGUCAAGCAAUAUCACCCAAAAAAGAUGUAGAUGGUUUUCAUUUAGAAAAUAUAGGAAAUUUGACAUUGGACAGUAAAGGUAUUAUACCAGCUACUGUCCUGGGUGUAAAAGAAUUGAUAGUUAGAUCAAAUAUAAAAACCUUUGGGAAGCAUGCAGUUGUAAUAGGCAGAUCAAAACAUGUUGGUUUACCAAUAGCUUUAUUACUACAUGCAGAUGGCAGGGGAGCUACGGGUGGAUUAGAUAUGACAACAACAAUUUGUCAUAUCCAUACUCCUUCUGAUCAAUUAAAACAAAUGACAAGACUUGCUGACUUAGUAGUAGUAGCUGCUGGUGUUCCUAGUUUAGUAACCGAAGAUAUGAUCAAACCUGGUGCUUGUGUAAUUGAUGUUGGAAUUAACAGAGUAAAAGAUAAAACUAGUAAUAGAAAUAUACUUGUUGGAGAUGUGGAUUAUGAAAAUGUAAAAAAGGUUGCACAAUAUAUUACACCUGUACCAGGAGGUGUGGGUCCUAUGACUGUUACAAUGUUGUUAAAAAACACGUUUACAGUGGCUAUGAAAAAUUCGCAACACAAGAAACAUUUAAAAAAUAUUAUUUCUGAAGUGAGAUAAAUCUUCUUACCUAUUGUGUUAUUUUACUCAUUUUGUAAAACAACAGAUCAGCAAAUGUAAAAUAUUACUUCGCAAUGUAGACACAUUUUAUCUAAAGGCCAUUCAUUUUUACGUGCAGUUUGUUGCAUAAUUGCUGUAAGAAAGGACUGAGGAUUAAAGAAUCCCCCUAGCCACACUGAUGAAGGAAGCUAUUAGAAAAAUUUGACAUUAAUGUAUAUAGCUGUGUAAAUAAUAAAAUAAAAUAUAACAAAAA